rnacentral:rRNA from 1 species
GACGAACGCGGCGGCGUGCCUAAUACAUGCAAGUAGGACGCACAGCCUAUACCGUAGCUUGCUACACCAUAGGCUGUGAGUUGCGAACGGGUGAGUAACGCGUAGGUAACCUGCCUAUUAGAGGGGGAUAACUAUUGGAAACGAUAGCUAAUACCGCAUAACAGUAUGUAACACAUGUUAGAUGCUUGAAAGAUGCAAUUGCAUCGCUAGUAGAUGGACCUGCGUUGUAUUAGCUAGUAGGUAGGGUAAAGGCCUACCUAGGCAACGAUACAUAGCCGACCUGAGAGGGUGAUCGGCCACACUGGGACUGAGACACGGCCCAGACUCCUACGGGAGGCAGCAGUAGGGAAUCUUCGGCAAUGGGGGGAACCCUGACCGAGCAACGCCGCGUGAGUGAAGAAGGUUUUUCGGAUCGUAAAGCUCUGU